rnacentral:rRNA from 1 species
AAUUGUUUUUUAAAUAAAGACUUGUAUGAAUGGCAUGACGAGAGCUUGACUGUCUCCCCUGUUUAACCAGUGAAACUGAUCUCCUUGUACAAAAGCAAGGAUGUCUAUGUAAGACGAGAAGACCCUAUGGAACUUAAAACACACAAUCAACUACGGACCUUAAUUAAUAUUACAACCCCCUAUAGCCUGAUCUACUGUUUUCAGUUGGGGCGACUACGGAGCAUACAAACCCUCCGCGACCUUUACCUAACCUUACAAACCAAGGUACCAAAAAAUUGGAACAAUUGACCCAACCCGAUUGAUCAACGAACCAAGCUACCCUAGGGAUAACAGCGCAAUCUUCUUCUAGAGCCCUUAUCGACAAGAAGGUUUA